GGCUUCCUUGGGAAAUAAUUCUCGGUUACAGCCGAAGUCACACAUGGUGGUGCUGAGUUUUGUCCAGGUUACCCGUUCUAAGUUAUAUGCAGCUUGGAACAGUCUUACCAUCUUGAAUACUCUGAAGAAAGUUCUGUGAAACUUCAAACAGC